AUAAUAUAGCCAUGUACACAUGCUUUGUCUAAAACUGUUCUCUAUUCUUACACAGCAGAACCUGGAUCAGGAUUCCUCUGACCACGACUCUGACGCACUUCCUCUAAGACUUCUUUAUUCGUACACCUCAGAACCUGGAUCAGGAUUCCUCUGACAACAGAUCUGAAAAUGCACAUUACAGUAAGCCUGCAUGCAGACCCUGAAUCCGAUCAACUACCACCAAAUUUGAGCCACACAACAGAGUCAUCAAUCUUCAGUUUUGAGGACAGUGUUGGUUUUGGUGUGUUUGAACCACUAUGGCAGUCUUUUACUGACUCUGAAUCCAAUGGUAGUGGAGAAGAAUUUCCCAUGGAAGACAGCACUGAUAAGUCAGUAAAUGAAGAAACACAUUUGGGAGUAGGUGAUAAUGAAAGGUUUCCUCCAGUAAAUUAUGAGCCACUUUACACAGGCUCACAACUAACCAAAGCUCAGAGUUUUUUACUUAUACUUUCAUAUGCUUUCAGACACUCACUUAAUGCGGUGGCCCUGUCUGAUCUUUUAGAUUUGAUUAAUAUCCACUGUCCAGAAAAUGUACUAACUUCAAAGCAUCUAUUCUUAAAAGAGCUUAAACCAAUACAAGGUAACCUAGAAUGUCACAUAUAUUGUCCCAACUGCGAAUAUUACAUCGGGGACCAAGACACUGAUGGGAAGUGUUCUGUAUGUAACUCUACAUGGGAUAGAAACAGCUCAUUGAAGAAUGGAAAUUUCUUCCUGUACUUACCCAUCCAAACACAACUGGAACAUCUUCUUCAAAGAGAAGAUAUUGCAUGUUGUCUUAAGUCAGGAAAUGGCAAAUGUAAUUCAGAAAAUUAUGAUCAUAUAUGUUGUAUCAUAUGUAUCAUAAUCUGAGCAAAG